AUGUAACACCCCGUUUUUCCAAUAUACAAAUUUCUUAAAUCAUUUAUCAGAGUAAGCAUCAUAAACAACGGGAUAUCACAUAUAACAUAAUCCAAAAUAGUUAAAUAAUAAUUUAACCCAAUAUCUUAAACAUUGCAGCGGAAAUUAUAUCAUAAUCAUAAAACGUUUUGGCACGCAGGCCCCGUCAAAAUAUUUUCAAAAGAGUUAGUUCAAUAAACAGAUAGCAUAGUAUUCACGUAAUAAAACGAAGCAUGCAUAACAUAUAGCCCCAUCCCGUUACGUAUCAGAGCGACCUAGACGACACAGUGAAGGCAAGGCCACUCACGACGNN
rnacentral:lncRNA from 1 species